UUUCACAACUUCAGCAAAAGCCAAGGCAGCCAACAAAGCCACAGCCACCUUGGCUGUGCUUGGGCUCUGCCUUUUGGGCAGCUCACCGGCCACUCCCCAAAAGUAGAGCAUUCUGUCCUUUCUCCUUUUAAAUCCACGUCAUCAUUUGAUCAUAAUGGAAAUCAAUCUCCUGAAGUCACCACGCAAAGGCGUAUCCAUAGCAACCACAAGAGGAAGGACACAGAAAUGAUGCUCCAGUAGCUGCAGCAACGAAAGAAACCUGUGGCUUGGAAUGGGUUCAGGGGUUGCCUCAGACGCUCCCGGGAAAGGAGGGGGACCCUCGCCGCCGCGGAGGAAUUCGGAGGCGCAACCACUCCGACCCCGGGAGAACACGGCCAGACUGAAGAGCGCAGGUCCCAGCCUGAGGGUCCCUCUGAUGGGGAAUUCCAAUUUGCAUGACUGGAGUCCAUCCUCCCAAACUGUGAUGCUGAACAGAGAAUAUCUGUACUCAUCAGGUGGAAUCCUGUGCAUUCCAAAACAUGGGGAGGAACCAAGAGGGGAAUACCUCCCCUUGAGGAAAAGAAUGCUGUUUCCUAGAGGGAGGAGGUGGUCUUCAGGCUGAGAGACUUGGAGAGGCGAUUGGGUAAAGGUAGACAGCAAGACACAUGCAGAAGAAUGAAAUUGGACCAAUGUCUUAUACCAUACACAAAAAUAGACUCAAAAUGGAUGAAAGACAAAAAGACCUAAAUGUGAGACAGGAAUCCAUCAAAAUC